rnacentral:rRNA from 1 species
CAGCAGCCGCCGCGGUAAUACGGAGGGUGCAAGCGUUAUCCGGAUUCACUGGGUUUAAAGGGUGCGUAGGCGGGCAGGUAAGUCAGUGGUGAAAUCUUCGAGCUUAACUCGGAAACUGCCGUUGAUACUAUCUGUCUUGAAUAACGUUGAGGUGAGCGGAAUAUGUCAUGUAGCGGUGAAAUGCUUAGAUAUGACAUAGAACACCGAUUGCGAAGGCAGCUCACUAAACGCUCAUUGACGCUGAGGCACGAAAGCGUGGGGAUCAAACAGGAUUAGAUACCCGCGUAGUCCCUGUCUCUUAUAA